GUCGAACGAGAAAGCCGAAAGCUUGCUUUUGGCGAGUAAAGUGGCGCACGGGUGAGUAACGCGUGGGUAAUCUACCUCCGAAUUCGGGAUAACACUUCGAAAGGAGUGCUAAUACCGGAUGACAUCCUUUGUACUUUGGUAUGGGGGAUCAAAGAUAGCCGCUUCGUGAAAGCUAUUGUUUGGAGAUGAGCCCGCGUCCCAUUAGCUUGUUGGUAGGGUAACGGCCUACCAAGGCAGCGAUGGGUAGCUGGUCUGAGAGGAUGGCCAGCCACACUGGAACUGGAACACGGUCCAGACUCCUACGGGAGGCAGCAGUGAGGAAUUUUGCGCAAUGGGGGCAACCCUGACGCAGCAACGCCGCGUGAGUGAUGAAGGCCUUCGGGUCGUAAAGCUCUGUCAAGUGGGAAGAACGUAUCAUAUGUGAACAGCGUAUGGUAUUGACGGUACCACUGAAGGAAGCACCGGCUAACUCCGUGCCAGCAGCCGCGGUAAUACGGAGGGUGCAAGCGUUAUUCGGAUUUACUGGGCGUAAAGGGCGCGUAGGCGGUUGAUCAAGUCAGAUGUGAAAUCCCGGGGCUCAACCCCGGAAGUGCAUCUGAAACUGGUCGGCUUGAGUAUGGUAGAGGGAAGUGGAAUUCCUGGUGUAGCGGUGAAAUGCGUAGAUAUCAGGAGGAACACCGGUGGCGAAGGCGACUUCCUGGACCAAAACUGACGCUGAGGCGCGAAGGUGUGGGGAGC
rnacentral:rRNA from 1 species